CACUCUCCGAAAAGUAUUGGUGGCCCUCCCUGGCUCAGGGCGUUACUCGCUACAUCAACUCCUGUUCUGUGUUGCUGAGGCACUUUUCCAGCAGGUCUUCCGGCGCUAUGGCCUUCCAGAGGACAUCGUCUCUGACCGUGACCCCCAAUUCACGUCACAGGUAUGGAGGGAUUUCGUAGAGAAACUGGGGAGUCACGGUCAGCCUCACUUCCGUGUACCGGCCUCAGUCCAACGGACAGGUGGAGAUGAUAAACCAGGAGCUGGGGAGGUUCCUGAGAGUCACUGCCAGGACCGGCAAAGGGAGUGGGCCCGAUUCCUUCCCUGGGUGGAAUACACCCAGAAUUCAUUACGUCACUCUUCCACUGAGCUUACCCCCCUCCAGCGUGUCCUGGGUUAUCAGCUGGCCCUGGCUCCGUGGACUCUGAGCCAGACCAAGGCCCCUGCAUUGGACAAAUGGUUCCCGGCCUGCAGAGGAGGUUUGGAGUGAUGCACAUGUGAAGCUCCAGUGUGCCGUCCGUUGCCAGAAGAAGCGAUUGCCCCUGCAGUAAGGCGCCCGUGUUCCAUCCUGGUGAUUGCGUAUGGCUCUCUACCGGGAACCUCACUCCGCCUGCCCUACAAGAGGCUGAGCCCUUGGUUUGUGGGGCCGUUCCUGGUUCUCCGAAGGAUUGACGAGGUGACGUAUAGGCUUUGUUUCAUGCCUCCCUUCUCAGGCCGGUGGUUCCUGGCCCCCUGGUUGAUGCUGUCCCCCACAACCCCCCCCCCUCCCCGGAUGCUGAGGGGGAUCCUGCCUAUGCCGUCAGAUCCCUACUGGACUCCAGACGUUGUGGGGGUUGGCUCCAGUACCUGGUGGACUGGGAGGGGUAUGGCCCAGAGGAGCAGUGUUUAGGUUCCGGUGGAGGACACUGGACCCCAACAUCAUUUGUGAUUUCCAUUUUCGCCGCCUGGACCGGCCUGCUCCUUGGGGCUGUCCCUCCUGCGGCUGGAGUUGCGUGUCGGGGUACUGUCAAGUCUACUCUCGCUCCACCCCUCCGGCGUUUGAAAUUGCCAGUUUACUAACCACCGGUCCUGGCAUUCAUCAUUACGUGCACAUGGCAUUCAUCAUUACGC
ensembl:lncRNA